UACGUAGGCAGCAAGCGUUGUCCGGAAUCACUGGGCGUAAAGGGCGCGUAGGCGGCUUGAUAAGGUUGCGGUGAAAGCCCGGGGCUCAACCCCGGGUCGGCCGUGGCAACUGUCGAGCUGGAGCACUGUAGAGGCAGGUGGAAUUCCGGGUGUAGCGGUGGAAUGCGUAGAGAUCCGGAAGAACACCGGUGGCGAAGGCGGUCUGCUGGGCAGUUGCUGACGCUGAUGCGCGACAGCGUGGGGAGCAAACAGG
rnacentral:rRNA from 1 species